GAGUUUGAUCGUGGCUCAGAACGAACGCUGGCGGCAUGCCUAACACAUGCAAGUCGAACGGGAUCCAGGCUUCGGCCUGGUGAGAGUGGCGGACGGGUGAGUAACGCGUGGGAACCUGCCCAAUGGUCUGGGAUAACCGCGGGAAACUGCGGCUAAUACCGGAUAAGCCCGAGAGGGGAAAGAUUUAUCGCCGAUGGAGGGGCCCGCGUCCGAUUAGGUAGUUGGUGAGGUAACGGCUCACCAAGCCGACGAUCGGUAGCUGGUCUGAGAGGAUGAUCAGCCACACUGGGACUGAGAUACGGCCCAGACUCCUACGGGAGGCAGCAGUGGGGAAUAUUGGACAAUGGGGGCAACCCUGAUCCAGCAAUGCCGCGUGAGUGAUGAAGGCCUUAGGGUUGUAAAGCUCCUUUGGCGGGACGAUGAUGACGGUACCGCAGAAUAAGCCCCGGCUAACUUCGUGCCAGCAGCCGCCGUAAC
rnacentral:rRNA from 1 species